rnacentral:rRNA from 1 species
AUGGGGAUCGACCUGAACAGCGUGGAGGAGGACGGGGAGGCGGCGGCUGUCGGCGUGUGCGGGGAGCUGUGGCACGCGUGCGCUGGGCCCGGGGUGGCGCUGCCCAGGCGCGGGAGCGCCGUCGUGUACCUGCCGCAGGCGCACCUCGCGGCGGGCGGCGGGGAGGCCCCGGCCCCGGCGCCGGCCGGGGCGCCGCGCGUGCCGCCCCACGUGGCGUGCCGCGUCGUCGGCGUCGAGCUUUGCGCGGAUGCGGCGACGGACGAGGUGUACGCGCGCCUCGCGCUGCUGGCGGACGCCGAGAUGUUCAGACAAAACGUCCGUGAGUCUGCAUCCGAAGAGGGGGAGGACGAGAUGGCCGGUGGUGACGGAGAGAAGAAGCCCCGUAUGCCUCACAUGUUCUGCAAGACCCUCACUGCCUCCGAUACGAGCACGCAUGGAGGUUUCUCUGUUCCUCGCCGGGCAGCCGAGGACUGUUUCGCACCUUUGGACUACAAGCAGGUCAGGCCUUCUCAAGAGCUCGUUGCCAAGGACUUGCAUGGCACACAGUGGAGGUUUCGCCAUAUUUAUAGAGGUCAACCUCGUAGGCAUCUUCUAACAACAGGCUGGAGUUCGUUUGUCAACAAGAAAAAACUUGUCUCCGGGGAUGCAGUCUUAUUUCUUCGAGGCGAUGAUGGUGAGCUAAGAUUGGGUGUACGGAGAGCAGUUCAGCUUAGAAAUGAAGCCCUUUUUAGAGCUGUCAACAGUAAUGAAUCAAAGCUGCACACACUAUCUGCUGUUGCCAGUUCCUUGGAAAAUAGAAGUAUUUUCCAUGUUUGUUUCGACCCAAGGAGUGGCGCAUCAGAAUUUAUUGUGCCAUAUUGGAGGUUCUCUAAGAGCUUGAACCAUCCGUUUUCCAUUGGAAUGAGGUUUAAAGAUUCCAAUGACAGUGAUGAUGCAAAUGAGAGGUCUACUGGAUUGAUUUCAGGUAUUAGUGAAGUAGACCCCAUAAGAUGGCCUGGAUCAAAAUGGAGAUGCCUACAGGUAAGAUGGGAUGAUGGUAACCAUUGCAACCACCAACGCAGGGUUUCUCCGUGGGAGAUCGAGAGAAUUGGUGGUUCAAUUCAAGUUAAUGAUUGUCUGUCAGCAUCCAGUUCGAAGCGAGCCAAAUUGUACUUUCCUCAAGGCAAUUUGGAUGCUCCAGUUACUGAUGGAAAUGAUUUUCCGGACCCGGUGGAAACAGGAAGCUUCCACAGGGUCUUGCAAGGUCAAGAAUUGUUGAUGGGCUCUAGGGCUCAGGGCGCCGCGCGCUCCCGGUCACCAGACGUCGCAAAGUUUCGCCCUCCGGAUCACCAGCGGUUCUCUGCAAAUGCGGGGAGCUACAUGCCGCAGCAGAGCCCGGCGGAGUUUCCCUACCAUUCCUCAGGCUUCGGCGAAUCCCUCGGGUUCCCAGAGGUCUUGCAAGGUCAAGAAAUGUCUCGAGCACUUCGCUUCUACUCCCAAGGAAGUGCUUUUGACGCCCGCGCGCAGCACGGCCCGUUCGGCUACGCGCAACGGUCAGCUGCGCCGGGUGGACUGUCGCCUGCAGCUCAAGGGUAUGCUCUCGGGCAGUUCACGCCGUCGUCGGCGGCGGCGAAAGUGUCCUCUCCCUCCUCCGUCCUGAUGUUCAACCAGGCGACGGUCCCGCAGUUCGACUUGGAAGGCAGAACCAGCGGCUACAGAGGCGCGUAUGGCGGCCAGUGUCCUCCCGGCAUAGAGAUGGUGAGGGAGACGGAGGAGGCCUGGCCGUGCGCACAGCGCCGGACGCCAAGCGUGACGGGGACGGGGUGCCGCCGGUUCGAAGAAUGGAUCAUGGCUUCGACUCCGGCGAGUGCUGACGGUGGCAGGCCCAGGUCGGCGGCUGCCGGAGACGUCGUCGGGCGGAGCAGUUGCAGGCUGUUUGGGUUCUCCCUGACUGAUCAGAAGGUGCUGGGAGGAGCAGGUGAGGGUGCUGCCAAGGAAGGGGACGCGGCUGAUGAGGCGGUGGAGUGCGCCGACCCGCGGGUGCUCGACUUGUUUGGGCGCGGCCACCCUGCCCCUGCUGCGCUGCAUGCCAUCGUCGCUGCUCCCCUGGGAAUGUGA